GGGCCCGCACAAGCGGUGGAGCAUGUGGUUUAAUUCGAUGAUACGCGAGGAACCUUACCAGGGCUUAAAUGUAAGUUGCAUUAGUUAGAGAUAACUAUUUCUUCGGACCACUUACAAGGUGCUGCAUGGUUGUCGUCAGCUCGUGCCGUGAGGUGUCAGGUUAAGUCCUAUAACGAGCGCAACCCCUGUUGUUAGUUGCCAGCGAUUCAAGUCGGGAACUCUAACAAGACUGCCGGUGCAAACCGUGAGGAAGGUGGGGAUGACGUCAAAUCAUCACGGCCCUUACGUCCUGGCUACACACGUGCUACAAUGGCCGGUACAGAGAGCAGCCACUACGCGAGUAGGCGCG
rnacentral:rRNA from 1 species